AAAGGGUUUCACGAGAAGAAAAAAUAUAAUGAAAACAGAUGCAUCAAUAAAAUCAGAGUGAGACAAAGGAGCCAACCAGAGAAACAGAAGGAGAAAUUAAGAAUGGAGAGUGAGGACAAAACGGGGAGUGCGUCGGCAGCACCCUGAGGUUGGUGUCAUACAUUUGAAAAAUCAAUAAAAGUCACAUUUGAAAAAUCAAUAAAAGUCUGGAAUUUUUCAAUCAAUUAAUUAUACUCUCUCUUCCUUUAUUUAUUUAUUGUUAUUAUUAUUUAUUUCUCUCUCAAGCUAUUUGGCUGUAGAUCAACU
rnacentral:lncRNA from 1 species